rnacentral:rRNA from 1 species
CUCAGAAUGAACGCUGGCGGCGUGCUUAACACAUGCAAGUCGUACGAGAAAUCUUUAGCUUGCUAGAGAAAGUAAAGUGGCGCACGGGUGAGUAACGCGUGGGUAAUCUGCCUCCGAAUCGGGGAUAACAUUGCGAAAGCGAUGCUAAUACCGGAUAAAAUCUGGUUGGCUUCGGUGAACCGGAUCAAAGGUGGUCUCUUUAUAAAAGCUACCGUUUGGAGAUGAGCUCGCGUACCAUUAGCUAGUUGGUGAGGUAAAGGCUCACCAAGGCGACGAUGGUUAGCUGGUCUGAGAGGAUGAUCAGCCACACCGGAACUGGAACACGGUCCGGACUCCUACGGGAGGCAGCAGUGAGGAAUUUUGCGCAAUGGGGGAAACCCUGACGCAGCAACGCCGCGUGAGUGAUGAAGGCUUUCGGGUCGUAAAGCUCUGUCAGGUGGGAAGAACCCACCAAGUGUUAAGACCACUUGGUGCUGACGGUACCACCGAAGGAAGCACCGGCUAACUCCGUGCCAGCAGCCGCGGUAAUACGGGGGGUGCGAGCGUUAUUCGGAAUCAUUGGGCGUAAAGGGCGCGCAGGCGGUUUUGUAAGUCAGAUGUGAAAUCCCGGGGCUUAACCCCGGAAGUGCAUAUGAAACUAUGAGACUUGAGUAUGGGAGAGGGAAGCGGGAUUCCUGGUGUAGCGGUGAAAUGCGUAGAUCUCAGGAGGAACACCGGUGGCGAAGGCGGCUUCCUGGACCAAUACCGACGCUGAGGCGCGAAGGCGUGGGGAGCGAACACGAUUAGAUACCCUGGUAGUCCACGCAGUAAACGUUGAUCACUACGUGUAGCGGGUAUUGACCCCUGCUGU